rnacentral:rRNA from 1 species
AUUGAACGCUGGCGGAAUGCUUUACACAUGCAAGUCGAGCGGCAGCACGGGGGCAACCCUGGUGGCGAGCGGCGAACGGGUGAGUAACACAUCGGAACAUGCCCAGUCGUGGGGGAUAACAUUUCGAAAGAAGUGCUAAUACCGCAUACGUCCUGAGGGAGAAAGCGGGGGAUCUUCGGACCUCGCGCGAUUGGAGUGGCCGAUGUCAGAUUAGCUAGUUGGUGGGGUAAAGGCCUACCAAGGCAACGAUCUGUAGCUGGUCUGAGAGGAUGAUCAGCCACACUGGGACUGGGACACGGCCCAGACUCCUACGGGAGGCAGCAGUGGGGAAUUUUGGACAAUGGGGGCAACCCUGAUCCAGCCAUUCCGCGUGAGUGAAGAAGGCCUUCGGGUUGUAAAGCUCUUUCGGCAGGAACGAAACGGCGAGCUCUAACAUAGCUUGCUAAUGACGGUACCUGAAGAAGAAGCACCGGCUAACUACGUGCCAGCCGCCGCAGUAAAAC